rnacentral:rRNA from 1 species
AUGGCUGGGGCUAGGCAGAAUCAAGGUGCUAGAGGGGGGAGAUAUGGAGCUGGCCGUAGCCGCAUUGACACUGCUCGCCCUCCAGCCCCUGUGCAGCAACAGCCUGUCGCCGCUCAAGUGAAUCCUGUUUGGGCGCCAAUCUCCUCACCAUUGCCUUCUCAGCAUGCCCCUCCCAUUUCCAUCUAUGCCAAACCUCCCAUUGUUCCACUUGGAGCUAGUUCUCCCAGUAUGCUACACCCAGCUAUGAACCAGAUCUACACUGGUUUUCCUACCUCUAAUUACCAAUUCCCCCAAAUGGCUCCAUGGAUGCAACAACCUCAAUCGCAUUCCCCCUACAUGCCACCAUAA